rnacentral:rRNA from 1 species
GUUAAAAAGCUCGUAGUCGGAUUUCGGGGCGGGGCGACCGGUCUGCCGAUGGGUAUGCACUGGUCGGCGCGUCCUUCUUUCCGGAGACCGUGCCUACUCUUAACUGAGCGGGGGCGGGAGACGGAUCGUUUACUUUGAAAAAAUCAGAGUGUUUCAAGCAGGCAGCUCGCUCUCGCAUGGAUUAGCAUGGGAUAAUGAAAUAGGACUUUGGUGCUAUUUUGUUGGUUUCGAACACCGAAGUAAUGAUUAACAGGGACAGUCAGGGGCACUCGUAUUCCGUCGAGAGAGGUGAAAUUCUCAGACCAAUGGAAGACGAACCACUGCGAAAGCAUUUGCCAGGGAUGUUUUCACUGAUCAAGAACGAAAGUUAGGGGAUCGAAGACGAUCAGAUACCGUCGUAGUCUUAACCAUAAACCAUGCCGACUAGGGAUUGGGGGAUGUUCUAUAUUGACUCCCUCAGCACCUUACGGGAAACUAAAGUCUUUGGGUUCCGGGGGGAGUAUGGUCGCAAGGCUGAAACUUAAAGGAAUUGACGGAAGGGCACCACCAGGAGUGGAGCCUGCGGCUUAAUUUGACUCAACACGGGGAAACUUACCAGGUCCAGACAUUGUAAGGAUUGACAGAUUGAGAGCUCUUUCUUGAUUCGAUGGGUGGUGGUGCAUGGCCGUUCUUAGUUGGUGGAGUGAUUUGUCUGGUUAAUUCCGUUAACG